CAGAAGAUAGUUUAAUAAAAAUUUUAAUUUUGGAGAUUAAUGAUAAGAAAUAGUUUUCUUUCUUCUGA
rnacentral:tRNA from 1 species